rnacentral:rRNA from 1 species
GACGAACGCUGGCGGCGUGCUUAACACAUGCAAGUCGAGCGAGAAAGCUCCUUCGGGAGUGAGUACAGCGGCGAACGGGUGAGUAACACGUGGGCAACCUGCCCUAGGGAGCGGGACAACCCGAGGAAACUCGGGCUAAUACCGCAUGAUUCGUCGUGCCUCAAGGCGCGACGGGAAAUGGUAGCUUCGGCCUCCGCCCUGGGAUGGGCCCGCGCCGCAUUAGCUUGUUGGUGAGGAACGGCUCACCAAGGCAACGAUGCGUAGCUGGUCUGAGAGGACGAUCAGCCACACUGGCACUGCGACACGGGCCAGACUCCUACGGGAGGCAGCAGUAAGGAAUAUUGCGCAAUGGGCGAAAGCCUGACGCAGCGACGCCGCGUGGGGGA